UGAGGAACAGCGUUUGAGGUGAAGUUCUGUUAUACACUCCGGCUGUGAGUAAGUGGAAGUCAGUGCAUCACAGAACUUUGUCUCGAGGGCUUCACUA
ensembl:miRNA xtr-mir-148b xtr-mir-148b